UAAUACGUAGGGGGCUAGCGUUAUCCGGAUUUACUGGGCGUAAAGGGUGCGUAGGCGGUCUUUUAAGUCAGGAGUGAAAGGCUACGGCUCAACCGUAGUAAGCUCUUGAAACUGGAGGACUUGAGUGCAGGAGAGGAGAGUGGAAUUCCUAGUGUAGCGGUGAAAUGCGUAGAUAUUAGGAGGAACACCAGUAGCGAAGGCGGCUCUCUGGACUGUAACUGACGCUGAGGCACGAAAGCGUGGGGAGCAAACAGG
rnacentral:rRNA from 1 species